UCUAGGAUGUGUUAUUUUAGUGUUCCCUUUAUUUUUUUGAGCAGUGUAUAUCGGGCAAGUUACUCCUUGCAUAUAUUUUUUCUAUUCCCUGCUUUGUAUUGUUUUUAGACCAAAUGACGACAGCCACACGUAAUCAGGUCCUGUCACUGUAUAUUAGGGUAUUUCGGAUCGCCUGGGGCGCAGUCCACACUCCCACAAGACACUGUGAGUGACAGAAGGUACAUUGUCCAGGAGGCCCAGACCCUCUUCAGACAGAACCAACAGGCAAAAAGACAGACCCUAUGUUUGUCUGUGUAGCUCGGUAUCAUCUGUAUCUGUUUGAUGAAUCUGUUGCUCUGUGUAUCCCUUUCAGUUGACAGAUCAGGAAUCAAUAAAGAAGUGCUUAGUAGAAUGUGAGACAAGGAUAGAAAUUGGAAUCCCUAUCCAAGACUUAUCUACCUGCUUAUAAUGGGACUGACAACCCAGAAAGGCAGGAAGCUGAAUGCACAGCAACGCAUGAGGAAGCAGGCCAGCCAGUUUACUUACAGUCACAUGAGGACAGCUGAUACUACAGCUGAUACUAGAUGAACUCUAUAUUCUUGUGAAAGGGUUGAUGUUACCAAGGACAGGAGGAAAGUUAUUGGCUAUUCUCAGGAGUUGAGUUGAAAAUCCAUCUUAUAUAUUGGAGAAAAAAGUCAUUAAUUUCCAAGUGUAUUUAUGCAUGUGAUUCCUGACAAGAGCUGCUAUGUGGAUUUCAGCAUUGUCUGUCCUUUAAGAUAAGUAGCCAUAAAGA